AACGUACGCUGACGGCAGGCUUAACACAUGCAAGUCGAACGGUUGCAGCAAUGCAGCAGUGGCAGACGGGUGAGUAACACGUGGGAACCUUCCUAGGGGUACGGAACAACUCAGGGAAACUUGAGCUAAUACCGUAUACGUCCGUGAGGAGAAAGAUUUAUCGCUCUUAGACGGGCCCGCGUCGGAUUAGCUAGUUGGUGGGGUAACGGCCUACCAAGGCGACGAUCCGUAGCUGAUCUUAGAGGAUGAUCAGCCACACUGGGACUGAGACACGGCCCAGACUCCUACGGGAGGCAGCAGUGGGGAAUCUUGGACAAUGGGCGCAAGCCUGAUCCAGCCAUGCCGCGUGAGUGAAGAAGGUCUUCGGAUUGUAAAGCUCUUUUGCCAGGGACGAUAAUGACGGUACCUGGAGAAUAAGCCCCGGCAAACUUCGUGCCAGCCGCCGCCGUAAUAC
rnacentral:rRNA from 1 species